rnacentral:tRNA from 1 species
GGCCUAAUGGUCUAGUGGUAGUGAGUAGCACACGUCGAUGGGUUUAUCAAGUAUUGACAGUCUAUUAGUGAUUCCUGCUUUGGGUCCAUCUCAAUCUUGCAGGAGGCCCCGCGUUCGAAUCGCGGUUGGGCCC